AACGAACGCUGGCGGCAUGCCUAACACAUGCAAGUCGAACGAGACCUUCGGGUCUAGUGGCGCACGGGUGCGUAACGCGUGGGAAUCUGCCCUUGGGUUCGGAAUAACUCCUCGAAAGGGGUGCUAAUACCGGAUGAUGUCGUAAGACCAAAGAUUUAUCGCCCAAGGAUGAGCCCGCGUAGGAUUAGCUAGUUGGUGGGGUAAAGGCCUACCAAGGCGACGAUCCUUAGCUGGUCUGAGAGGAUGAUCAGCCACACCGGGACUGAGACACGGCCCAGACUCCUACGGGAGGCAGCAGUGGGGAAUAUUGGACAAUGGGCGAAAGCCUGAUCCAGCAAUGCCGCGUGAGUGAUGAAGGCCCUAGGGUUGUAAAGCUCUUUUACCCGGGAUGAUAAUGACAGUACCGGGAGAAUAAGCCCCGGCUAACUCCGUGCCAGCCGCCGCCGUAACAC
rnacentral:rRNA from 1 species